rnacentral:ncRNA from 1 species
UCCGAAGCGAUUCUGACGUGCAAAUCGAUUGUCUGACUUUGGUACAGCGGCGAAAGACUGAUCGAACAAUCUAGUAGCUGAUUCCCUCUGAAGUUUCCCUCAGGAUAGAUGGAGUACGUUAUGAAACUGCUACAUUCGGUAAAGCGAAUGAUUAAAGGAAUUGUGGGACGAAACGUCUUCAACCGUGGAUGACUCGCUUGCUCGAAUGAAGCGUGGACAUUGAAUAUGUGCUCUACAUAGGCCAUUUUGGUAAGCAGAACUGGGGUGCUGUGGACGGACAAAAGUUGAGUUAAAGUAUAAGUCUUCCGUUCAAGCGCCAUCCAUUUAAACUUUCCUCAUUUUUCUCAUUCACAUUAAAAGAUAUCUGUUAUCGAUCGACAAAACUUUAACAAUAUUUUGCUAAUGCAAAAAUUUAAUUAAUAAAUAAGAUGAAUAAUAUUAUCAGGCAUUUUUGGAAAUAUUUAAUGAAUAUGCAG